CCUACGGGUGGCAGCAGUGAGGAAUAUUGGUCAAUGGACGAGAGUCUGAACCAGCCAAGUAGCGUGAAGGAUGACUGCCCUAUGGGUUGUAAACUUCUUUUAUAUGGGAAUAAAAUGUUCCACGUGUGGGAUUUUGUAUGUACCAUAUGAAUAAGGAUAGGCUAACUCCGUGCCAGCAGCCGCGGUAAUACGGAGGAUCCGAGCGUUAUCCGGAUUUAUUGGGCUUAAAGGGAGCGUAGGUGGAUUGUUAAGUCAGUUGUGAAAGUUUGCGGCUCAACCGUAAAAUUGCAGUUGAAACUGGCAGUCUUGAGUACAGUAGAGGUGGGCAGAAUUCGUGGUGUAGCGGUGAAAUGCGUAGAUAUCACGAAGAACUCCGAUUGCGAAGGCAGUUCACUGGACUGCAACUGACACUGAGGCUCGAAAGUGUGGGUAUCAAACAGGAUUAGAUACCCCUGUAGUC
rnacentral:rRNA from 1 species